rnacentral:rRNA from 1 species
AGCAGUCGCCGCGGUAAUACGUAGGUCCCGAGCGUUGUCCGGAUUUAUUGGGCGUAAAGCGAGCGCAGGCGGUUAGAUAAGUCUGAAGUUAAAGGCUGUGGCUUAACCAUAGUACGCUUUGGAAACUGUUUUACUUGAGUGCAAGAGGGGAGAGUGGAAUUCCAUGUGUAGCGGUGAAAUGCGUAGAUAUAUGGAGGAACACCGGUGGCGAAAGCGGCCCUCUGGCUUGUAACUGACGCUGAGGCCCGAAAGCGUGGGGAGCAAACAGGAUUAGAUACCCGUGUAGUCCCUGUCUCUUAUACC